GCCCUUGCUGCUUCUGGCCUCUCUAGCUGGGGCUGUGGCUUUAAGCCCCUGGACUGGUUGCCAGCCUUUCAGGGCUGUGGUUUUGGUCCCCAGGAUUGGUACCAAAUUUGAAGAAACCAACAGGAGGCUCACCCAAUGGGGUUCUGUGAAGCAUCAGAAGAGAGAAAUACACACGAUUGUUGUGUAGCCAGGCUGGGUCACCCUCUCGCUCAGGUGCUGCAUGAUUCGAAGCAGGAGACGUUUCCCCCAGGCUGCAUCCUGAUUGGGGUCAUUGGAGACAAUGGGGUCAUUGGGGUCUAUGGGGACAUUGGAGUCAAUGGGGUCACUGGGGUCAAUGGGGGUCAAUGGGGUCAGUGGGGGCCGUAGGGGUCUUUGUGGUCAUUGAAUUAAAUGGGGUUAUUAGAGUGAAUGGGGUCAUUGGUGUCAGUGGGGUCAUUGGAGUAAAUAGGGUCAUUGAAGUGAAUGGGGUCAUUGGAUUCAAUCGGAUCAUAAGGGUCAAUGUGGUCCCUGCGGCAAUGGGGGUCAUUAGGGUCAAAGGGUGUUAUUGGGGUCAUUGUAGUCAAUGGAGUCAUUGGGGUCAAUUGGUUCAUUGGGGUCAAGUGGCUUAAUGAGGUCAGUGGGGGUUAUUGGAGUCAAUGGAGUCAUUGGGAUUAAUGGGGUCAGUGGGGUCAAUAGGGUCAUAUGAGCUUAAUGGGGUCAAUGGGGUCAGUGGGGUUAAUGGGUUGUUGGGGUCAUAUGGGGUCAUGGGUAUCAUUAGGAUCUUUGGGAAUCGGUGGGGUCAGUGGGUUCACUGGGUCGUUGGGGUCAUGGGGCCAUGUGGGAUCAUUGUGAUCAUUGGGGAUCAGUGGGGUUAUAUGGAUUCAUGUGAGGUCACUGGGGUCACUGGGUCAAAAGGGUCAAUGGGGUCAGUGGGGCCAAUGGGGUUACUGGAGGCCAGAAGGGUUUGGGCUUCCAAGCAAUCACCAAGCUUUUGGAUGAGCCAGCCCUCUGCUUUUUGUGAGGACAGACCCCAACGAGCCCACAUAACCCAAAUAACCUCCUUGACCCCCACAGACAAGUCCUCCUUGGAAAGCCAUCUCGGCAAGGGCAGAAUAGCGCUGUUCUUGGGCCGCAGCACUCCAUGGCCAGGCGCUGCUCAGACGCUGGGGCUGCAUUUCCUCCUGGGCACCCACACAUGCUGCGAUUCCCCUGCAGGUUCCUGCCGGGUUUGUGGCUUCCUGCUGGGGAACUCCUCAUCUUCUUCUGCAACUGCCCCCCAACGUCACUACUGCCUCCUCUGGUGCCGUACUGGCAGAUGCCUCAGCGUUCAUGAGCCUGGACUUCCUGCCUCCCAUCAGCAGCUGCUCCUUCAUUCAUACUGCAAUACCGUCCACUUCCAGCACCAGCAGAGCUGCAAGGCAGAGAUGGGAAACGUGGGAUUAAUGCAAACGCAGAAGCCCAAGGCUGUCCCACCACCACGUAUUGCAGCCUUGGAAGGUCAGCUGCAACUACAACCUCUGUCAGAAUCAAAACAGGCACCGUACAUUAAGGGUGACCUCUGAACUGAAGGAAUUACCACAGUCUGGAAAUAAAUACUGAAAUUGCUCAUUUAUCUGUAGGUGGUUACCGCUGUAUUCUUUGGCUUUUGGGAAAAUGUGGACUUGGAAUUGAAGGAUACAAGGAAAAGGAGCAGCACUUGGCAACUCCUGCAAACUGAGCAGUGCGGGGAAGAUUGUGUCAUUUCUUCUCCGGGCCCACAAAUUAAGUUUCCUUCCUUACAAAGAGAAGGGAAAAAGAGCCUGACAUAAAGGAGGACACAGUGCAGUCUCACCUCACACGUAGAAGAAGGAGAGCUCUCAUGGCACUAAUCAUAGAAUCACAGGAAUCAUAGGAUGGCCUGGGUUGAAAAGGACCGUCAAAGGUCAUUGAGUUCCAACCCCCAGCUAUGUGCAGGGUCGCCAACCACCAGACCAGGCUGCCCAGGAGCCACAUCCUUGGCCCUGAAUGCCUCCAUGGAUGAGGCAUCCACAACCUCCCUGGGCAACCUCUUCCAGCUGCGUCAGCACCCUCUGAGUGUAAAACUUCCUCCUAGUAGCUAAUGUAAAUUCUCCCAGUCUCCAUUGAAAAGCAUUCCUCCUUAUCCUAUCACUAUCCACCCUCAUAAACAGCCGGUCCCCCUCCUGGUUAGAUGCUCCCUUCAGGUACUGAAAGGCCACAAUGGGGUCUCCCCAGAGCCUUCUCUUCUCCAGGCUAAACAAGACCAGUUCCCUCAACCUUUCCUCACAGGAGAGGUGCUCCAGCCCUCUGGCCAUCUUAGUGGCCCUCCCCUGGACCCGCUCCAACAGCUCCACGUCCUUCCUGUGCUGGGGACCCCAGGCCUGGACGCAGUACUGCAGAUGGGAUCGAGUAGAGGGGCACAAUCACUCCCUCUCCCUGCUGGCCACCGCUUUUUGAAUGCAGCCCAGCACACAGUUGGCCUUCCGGGCUGCAAGCACACACUGCUGGCUCACGUGCAGCUUCUCGCCCACCAGGACCCCCAAGUCCUUCUCCGCGGGGCUGCUCUCAGAGAGAUCUUCCCCCACUCUGUAUAAAUACCUGGGAUUGCCCCGACCCAAUGCAGCACCCUGCGCUUGGCCUUGCUGAACCUCAUCAAGUUCUCGUGGGCCCACUUCUCCAGCCUGCCCAGGUCCCUCGGGAUGGCUUCCCUUCCCUCCAACGUAGCGACUGCACCGCUCAGCUUGGUGUCAUCCGCAAACUUGCUGAGGGUGCACUCGAUGCCAUCGUCUGUCACUGAUGGAGAUGCUGAAGAGCACCGGUGCCAAGACCGACCCCCGAGGGACACCGCUUGGGACCGGCCCCCACCCUGGCACAGACCCACUGAUCACAACCCUUUGGCUGCGUCCAGCCAGCCAGUUCCUAAUCCACUCAACAGGCAAUCCUUCACAUCCACACCUCUCCAGUGUAGAGUGCGGAAUGUGGUGAGGGACCAUGGCAAAGGCCUUGCAGCAGUCCAGGUAGAUGACAUCCACCGCCCCUCCCCCGUCCACUGAAGCCGUCACUCCAUCACAGAAGGCCACCGGAUCGGCCAGGCACGAUCUGCCCUUGGUGAAGCCAUGCUGGCUGUCUCGGAUCACCUCUUUGUCUCGGAUGUGCCUUAACACAGCUUCUAGGAGGAUCUGCUCCAGGACCUUCCCAGGCACAGAGCUGCGGCUCACCGACCCGUAGUUCCCCGGGUCCUCCUUUCUCCCGUCCUUACAAAUGGGAGCACUGUUUCCCUUUCUGCUUUUCCAGUCACCGGGAACUUCCCCAGUCAGCCGGGACUUUUCCGAUGCAACGGAGAGCGGCUCGGCACCACAUCAGCCAUCUCGCAGAAGCCUGGGAUGGAUAUCAUCCGGCCCCACGGACUUACAUACAUUCAGUUCCCCGCGGAGGACUCAGACUUCUUCCGCCGUUACAGUGGGACGGAAUGCGCUCCUCUCACCCACACCGAGGGCUUCAGGGUCCCGGCAGGCACGGGAAGCCCGACCACCUGCAAAGACCGAGGCAAAGCUCUCACUGAGCACCUCAGCCUUUGCCAUGGCUGCCCACUGCCUUUCAUCCGAGGGAGCGCUCUCCUCGGCCCGUCUCCUCCUGCCUGUGGAGCUGCAGAUGAGGCUGCACGCGUCAUUGCGCGUGCACUGCUGUGCAACGGGAUGGGGUUGCAUGUGUGUGCGUGCAUGUGGUUGCACGCAGGGAUGGGGCCACACACGCGUGUGUGCUGUGGGCAAACAAACCGCUGUGGUGCUUCAGGGAGAGCCUCACCGCCUUUUUGCUGCUCCCGGCAGCGCCUCGCCGCCAUACUUUGCUUCUUGGAACCGCUUCCUGUCGCUGCCGCUGCUUUGAGGGUGUCCGCUCUGCUCCCAGCUCGGUGCAGGCCCGUGCCGGCCUCUCAUUGGUCAGCAGAGGCUCCAUCCCGCCCUUGCUGGCCUCUCAUUGGUCAGAAGCAGCUCUGACCCACCCCGGUGGCCUCUAAUUGGUGAUCGGCAGUUCCAUCCCGCCACUGCUGGCUCUCAUUGGUCAGCAGCAGCUCUAAGCCACCCCCGGUGGCCUCUCAUUGGUCAGCGGCAGCUCCAUCCCGCCCCUGCUGGCCUCUCAUUGGUCAACGGCAUUUCUGGCCCGCCCCUGGCCUCUGAUUGGUGAGCGGCAGCGCCGCCAGCUCCAAUUCGGCUGAGGGGCAGAGCGCGCCGUUGGCAACCGGCUUGGAAUCGCCCAGCUGUCCCCUCAGACGGCAGCCCGUGGCCGUCCCCUUCGCCGUGGGAUGCGGGGAUUUGGGGCGGCUGAAGGAGUCGGGGCCCCCACCGCUGUAGCGCUGCUGCCCCCAUUAGGGCCUGGAACCCCGAGCCUCCAGCUCUGCUCGCGGUGCCCCCCAAGGCUGAGGUGGUCUGUGGGUGGAGGGGCAGUGGGGGAGAUGUGGUGGGGAUGUGGGAGCUGAGGGGCUUUGGGGGCUAUUUGGGGGAUGUGGGAGGAUAUGGGGCUGUAGGGUGCUGUGUGGGGAUCUCGAGGGAUAUGGGGAUAUCGGUGGGUUUUGGGAAUAGAGGGGGAUGGAGGGAUGUGGGGCCCACAGGGGGUGCUAUAGAGGGAUGUAGGGCUGUGCGUGGGUUGUAGGAGGAGAUGGGGCUGUAGGGGGCUGUGUUGGGAAUCCAGGGAGGGUGUGAGGGGCCAUGGGGAGGCCAGAGGGAGAAAUGGGACUGUAUGGGGUAUAGGGUAGUGCUUUGGGGCGACAGGGGGCUGUAGUGGGUUAUAGGGGUGGAUAUUGGGGGAUAUGGGGCUGUAGUGGUCUGUGGGGGCUAUCGGGAGGGAUGUGGGUCUACUGGGGGCUAUAGGGGGGCUGCAGAGGGAUAUAGGGCUGUGUGGGGGUUCUAGGGGGAUAUGAGGUUGGAUAUGGGAGAGUGUGGGGGGCUCUGGAGGGAGUCUAGGGCCAGUGUAGGGUCUGUGGGUAGCUGUAAGGGGCGAUUGGGCUUAUAGGGGACUGGGGGACUGUAGGGAGGGUCUUAGGGACUGUAGAGGGGACAUGGGGUUCUAUGUGGCUGUAGGGAGCAGGGGAAUAAUAUGACGCUGUAGGGGGCUAUUGUGGGAAGCUCUAUGGUUCUAUGGGGAGGCUAUAGGGGGCAGUGGGAGAGCUAUAGCGGGUUUAUAGGUGGUUAUGUGGCUAUAGGGUUCUGUGGGUGGGCUGUAGGAGGGUUCUAGUAGGGUAGGAGGCUAUAGGGGGCUGUGGAGGGGAUAUAGGGAGAUAUGGGGCAAUAGUGGGUUUUUAGGGGGUUGUGGCGGGCUGUGAGAGUGUAUAGGAUGAUAGGGGGCCGGGAGGGUCUGUAGAGAGGGAUGUUAUGCUGGAGAAGGUAUGGGGGGCUAAAAGUGGGCCUUUGGGGGUUACAGAGGGGCUGUGGUGGGCUAUUUGGGAUAUAGGGAGAUAUAAGGCUAUAGGGGGUGUUUGGAGGAUGUGGUCCUCUAAGGGGCUGUGUGGGUCCAUAGGAUGAUCUGGAGCUAUAGGGUGAUCUCUAAAGGGAUGUGGGGCUAGAAGGCUCUCCCUUCCUUCCUUUCCCCCCUUCCACAGCAGGGAGGGUGAAAUGCUAGUCAUGAAAUUGAAAUUGGAACUGAAGUUGUCUUGGAAUAGAAUAUGAUGCUUUUGUGGUCUUCCAUCUGAAACGUGUUUUCUCCUUGGGUUUAGGUAAUCUGUUUAUGUUUAAUGAUUAUGCUUAAUAAUCUAAUCAUGUUUCAUAAUGUCUUUGGAGAAGGUUUCAGUCUGCAGUCUGCUGAUCCGAAAGAAAGAAGGCGGCUUUUGGAGGACUUAAUCAUGGCGAGUCGAGCUGCUGCUGAACCUCCCCUUCCAACAUCCAGCAGGUGAGGACGCUGUGCAUCUCAGCCCUCCCUCCCUGCACGGUAGCAGCGAUUCUAAUCAAACCUCUGAACUCCCAGGUUUGUUCUGCAGGCCCCGAUGAUGGCACAGGCAUGAAAGAGCCCAGAGCUCGUCGCUGGGGAGAGGCUGCGUAUGGCGUUGUGAAGGGAGAGAUGGAGGAGGGGUUUGAGCAGCGCUGUGCAGGAAUGAACGGCUGGUAAGAGAAGAGGUGUGUGUGCUGAGAGCAAGGGCUGUACGGCUCCUCUCUGUGUUCUCACAGGAAGUGCACGGCAGAGCUCCUUGCUCUCUGUUCUUUCUUGCAAGGCUGCGGCGCUUCAAAGUGCGCUGUGGGUGGGCAGCGCGAUGACAGCCCAAGGGUGGCACCAGGAGAUGCAGCGCAGCCCUCUGCAGCAGCAGGGUGCAUUGAUUGGUCUUGCUCAUUCUUGAAGGAGAAGGUGUGUUUAGCUGCCAAAGUCGGUGGCUCCAUAGCAUGUGCUGAAGGCUUUGGGGCCCUUCCUGUGUUCCUCACGUCCUGAGGCAGUGAAGGACUUCCCUUGCUCUGUAGGAAUGGUUCCUGUGCAAGGGCAUGGUCGUCUGCCUGUAGCAGAUACUGAAGGUUGUGGUUUUGUGACUGCAGUGAUGGAGUUGGCUUUAGAAUGGCAAUUGCACUCUGCUCACGUGCAGCUCUUUCUGACACAGGCAGGAGUCGGGCAGCGGUACUGCAGCUCCUCUGGCAGCUUUGCAGCUCAGUUGGGAAGCAGAAGAUGUGGAUGUGAAAGAAGAAGUCCGUUGCUGGGACGUUCCCCUGUUCUUCCCCCAGCUGUCCCCUUGCCUCAGCCUGGAUUCCCCUUGCAUUCCUGUAGGAUUCCCUUCCAUCCCCCUGGCUGCCCCUUGCUUUCCCCAAGGCUGCCCUUUCCUUUCUCAUGACAGCCCACCCAUCAUUCCCUCAGAGCCCAUAUAUCCCUCCCAGUGUUUCCCAGCAAGACCCCUAGAGACACCCUGUAGCCCCCCACAGAGCCCUGGAGCCCCUCAGGAACCCCCUCAGACCCAGUACACCUCCCCCGUAGCUGGCCCAUACCCACAUGGAGCCCCACAGUCCCCAGCAGCACCCCAUGUCCCCCACUGGGCUUCCCCGGAAUCCUCCUAUUUCCUCCCUCAGACCUCCUUUACACCUCCAAGAUCCCCCCUGGGAACUCACUGACCCCCAUGUUCCCUUGACAGUACCCCCAUCACCAUCCAGUGACCCCCAUAGCCCACCUUUGGCCUCUCCUCCCCCUGACCUGCCUCCAGAUCCCGUACAACCUCACAGUGCUGUGGCAUGGAUGGCUUCUGCAGGUGAGGAAUGAGGAGCUGGAGAAGGUGUAGGGCACAGAUGUGGGUCUCAGAAAGUGAAGUGGGUGGUACUGGGGAUACUGGGGAACACGGAUCAGAACAUGGGAGGAUUUGGGGAGGAUAAGGGGAUGUGGACCACAGCCUACAGGAGCAGAGUGCUUCACAGGAGAAGGCAAGGUGUGAGGUACAGGUGGGACUUGUGGGUGCAGAGACAUGACGUGGCAUGGGUACGUGGGGGGUCUGGGGGCUCGUGGGGAGCGGUUUGGGGUCAGAAUGGAGGAUGUGGAGUGGUGUUGGAGUGCAUUCAUUGAUUUCUUCCUGAGAGGGGAUUGGGGUUCCCUGCAGCCCAAAGGUGGAGCCCUGAUCCAUAACCCCACAUGAGCCCAGAACCCCAGAAAAGUCCACGUGACCACAAGGCUCCACAUGUCCCAUAACCCUGUGAGCACCGUAAGCCCAUAUGAGGCUGUGGGCAGGGAUGGGUCUGUUCCUGGCUUGUUCAGGGGGUACUAUAAGGUGGUUCUGGGGCCGCUGUAGGUCAGCAGCCUGAAUAUUCCCCUGACGCUCAUCUUGCCCUCAUCUUGCGGGACAAGAUGGAGGUCGAGGGGUUAGCUGGGGGCUAUGGAAGAUGCUCCAUGAGUGUAUCCCAUAGCUGCCCAUAGCAGCCCCAGAGCCAUCCUAGAGCAGCCCCAGAGUAGCCCCAUCACUGCCCGCAGCCCAUGGCCAGCAGCAGUGUGUUGGGUAAAGGCAGAUCCCAGGUGUGGCUCUGCUGCAAGGCUGCCUCAAAGUUCUCCUGAAGCCCUCCCAUAGGCGUCCUUUAUCUGCCCCACAACCCCAUGAGGCUUCCUUACAUGUCAGCACAUCUCCCCCGGUGCCUCUGGGGUGUGCGAGAAACACUCGCAUCCCUCAUGUUUUACCAAGCACAGCUCUCAGUGCAGCAGCAAUGCUCAUUCCUUAUUACUCAUUCCUUAUUACUAUGGCGUUACUGCACUCUCCUCUGUGAGCUCCUUCUGCUCCUGUAGCUCUCCUCCCAUGGCACCCACUGCUCUCCUGUUCCCCCUUGGCUGGGCACUGCAGGCUCACAGUCUCCACCACGCAUCCGCUGUGCAGUUUUUCCAGAGGAGGUCUAUGGCCAACGUGUUCCUUUCGGGCUGAUUGUGUGCUUUUCUAUGCAGACAGGCAGGCAGGAUUUCUUGCAGCUGUUGCACGUGCUGGGUCUCAUGCUCCGUCCUGCAGCUGUGCCUUAUCUCGUGUGCACUCUCCACCUCCCCCUGGUCAGAACGUCCUGGCCCUGCUGUGCUCUGCUCAGCAUCUGUCUGCUGCACAAUGACACAGCUGUCACACUGAGCCUGCCUUGUGCUAUCCCUGCAGAUGUUGGAUGAUUUCCUCUGCCACUCUCCCACCCGUAACCGCUCGGGUGCUUUCCAGCAGCACACAGCUGGCACACAGAGCCAUGCUGACCACGGCAGGGUGCAGCUCCUUGUUGCAGUCCCGUAGCGGUGGGUGGCCGUGCCAAAGGGGGAUCCCACCGCUGCUGCUCUCCAUCC
ensembl:lncRNA